UAAUACGAAGGUGGCAAGCGUUGUUCGGAAUUAUUGGGCUUAAAGCGCACGUAGGCGGACUGGAAAGUGUCCUGUGAAAACCCUCGGCUUAACCGAGGAAUUGCUUGGCAAACUAUCAGUCUUGAGGCAAGUAGGGGUACAUGGAACUCCUAGUGGAGCGGUGGAAUGCGUAGAUAUUAAGAGGAACGCCAAUGGUGAAGACAGUGUACUGGGCUUGUACUGACGCUGAGGUGCGAAAGCGUGGGGAGCGAACGGGAUUAGAUACCCCGGUAGUCCACGCUGUAAACGAUGUCUACUAGAUCGUGGGAGUUCUGACACUUUCACGGUCGAAGCAAAAGUGAUAAGUAGACCGCCUGGGGAGUACGGUCGCAAGGCUA
rnacentral:rRNA from 1 species